AGAAAUAGUAAACUCGAACAGAAGUGUC
rnacentral:piRNA from 1 species